rnacentral:rRNA from 1 species
UACGAAGGGAGCUAGCGUUGUUCGGAAUCAUUGGGCGUAAAGCGCGUGUAGGCGGCUUGGCAAGUCGGUUGUGAAAGCCCGGGGCCCAACCCCGGAACUGCAUCUGAAACUGCCUGGCUAGAGUCCCGGAGAGGAAGGCAGAAUUCCCGGUGUAGGGGUGAAAUCCGUAGAUAUCGGGAGGAACACCAGUGGCGAAGGCGACUACCUGGCCUGUUCUUGACGCUGAGGCGCGAAAGCUAGGGGAGCAAACGGG